UACGUAGGGUGCGAGCGUUGUCCGGAAUUAUUGGGCGUAAAGAGCUUGUAGGCGGUCUGUCGCGUCUGCUGUGAAAAUCCGGGGCUCAACCCCGGACUUGCAGUGGGUACGGGCAGACUAGAGUGUGGUAGGGGAGACUGGAAUUCCCGGUGUAGCGGUGAAAUGCGCAGAUAUCGGGAGGAACACCAAUGGCGAAGGCAGCUCGCUGGGACGGUACUGACGCUGAGGCGCGAAAGCGUGGGGAGCAAACAGG
rnacentral:rRNA from 1 species